AUAUAGAAUGCUCUCCUCCUCUCCAGCACUGGGUCUGCCUACACACGGCUAUGCUUCCCACCAUGAUGAUAAGAACUAAAUCCCUGAAACUAAGCCAGCCCAAAGCAUGUUUUCCAUUAUAAGAGCUGCUAUGGUCAUGCUGUCUCUUCACAGCAAUAGAACCCCUGAGACAGUGUGUUUGGAGGUGGGAAGACAAUUGUCGGGAGUCAGCUCUCUCCUUCCAUCACUGUGGAUCCCAGGCCGUCAGCUCAGUGAUGAGCAUCUAUCUGUACCUCUAAUCCAUCUCCUCCUUGCCCUUCGCAAUGGCUAUGCCUGCUUGUCAACUUGAUGAUAUCUAGAAUGAACAACAAUCCAGAAAUGGAGGACACCUCUAUGGGAGAUUACUUCGCUGGGUUUGAAGUGGAUGAAUCUACUUCUAGACUUGAGCUUUGAGGUGGGGAAGACAUACCUUUAACCUGGGCCACACCUUCUGCUGGAAGUCUGUGGAAGAGGACAACAUAGGACAAUUUUGCUCUUUGCCUGCUUGCCCUUGCCUUUCCAACACAUUCCUUCCCUCACUGGCAUUAGCGCCUACUUCUGCGGGACUCCACAGAUACAGGAGAUCAGCUGAGACAUCCAGCCUUGUGGACUGAGCAACUACUGGAUGCUUGGGCUUUGUGUUCACAGCCAAUCGUUGUUUGAUUAGCUGGACAACAGCCUGAUAGAUAGAUAGAUAGAUAGAUAAAAGUAGAUAGACAGACAGAGGGGGAGAGAGAGAUUCAUUCUAUAAGUUCUGCUCUAGAGAACCAUGAUUAAUACACCUUCUUCUUAACAUUCUUUUCUUUUCUUUUUUUCUUUUCUUUUCUUUUCUUUUCUUUUCUUUUCUUUUCUUUUCUUUUCUUUUUUUUUGAGACAUAGUCUCCCAUAGUUGCUCAGGCCCUUGGGCUUCCUCUGCAGAACAAAUAGCUUUGAAUUUUCUAUCCUGCCUUAGCCUCCAGUAGCUAGGAUUAUAGUCUGUUGCCACCAUGUCUGGCUUACUAGCAUUAUUUUUACACCACUAAUUUUGUGUCAUGGCAUCGAUAGAAAUCUAGCUGAGUCUAGUCAAUGGAAAACCCAAAACAAGACGUCAGCAUAGGUACUGCUAGCAAUAUCUGCAGAAGACCAUGGACUCGGAGUGGAGUCCAGUAUUUGCCCAGUACACCAGUGAAUGUCGGGUAAUUUCCAAGGCAGGGAUCUGCGAAUCAUUGGCUCCUGGAGGCCCUGAGAUGGACUGAGCACAGAACUAUUAAGUUCUCUGUGUGUGUGUGUGUCCGUUCUCUCGCUCUGCGGACACCUUCAGAAUUCAGCGCUGGCUGUUGUUCUUAGAACCUGCUCUGUUCUUGGAGCUGCGUCAUUGGUGUAUCGUUUUCUUUGUUCAAUUAAACUCUACUUCCUAUGAUAGGACUAAGGAAUUCUUCCUUUCCUCAACACAAUUACAUCAACAAUUAAAUAUGAAAUGUGUGGACCCGGCUUC
rnacentral:lncRNA from 1 species